CACUGUUGUUUGGUUAGCAGUGUUUCUGCAGUGCAGUAAGCACACAUGAUGAGUUCACAAAUCAAAUGCCCACUGGAUAGCGAAAAACAAGUUUAGCCAACAUACAGUACCUCCAGCAGGCAAGAACCACCAACCACCAACUCAGGGACAAGCUCCUGAUCUUUGUGUCUGGUACCUGUCACAGGCUACACUAUUCACAGCCCUGUGUAAUGUUCAAUUUAAUUAAAUUGCUGGACUUUUUAAAACUUAAUGUAUUUGUAUUGUUUUAAAAAUGUAAAAAUAAAAGGAAAUGCUUUAAA